rnacentral:tRNA from 2 species
UGGGCUUAUAGCUCAGCUGGUUAGAGCGCACGCCUGAUAAGCGUGAGGUCGAUGGUUCGAGUCCAUUUAAGCCCACCAU